rfam:Dipodomys ordii contig_24765, whole genome shotgun sequence.
CUCUUCCCGCCUUCUCCGCCCCCCCCUCUCGUCUUUUUUCAGCUCCUUCCGACUUCCCCCCCAAAAAGAAAAGUGUCCCGGAGUUGGGGAAGCCGAAGCUUUGAAAAACUUCCCUGUGGGCGCCUCGGUGUGGAGUCUGAGCAUGCUCAGUA